ACAAAGUUCGAAUAAGGAACUGGACUUUUCAGAGACGACAUGGUACAAGCAGUUAGAAAAUUAAUGCGAUUAAAGUAUUUUCAUUUUCUGUGUUCUACUCAUUAUACGAUUUUUGAAAUAGGAAAAAGAAACCAGGUCCUUAUUCAUUAUUCGUUUUUUUAUCUUACUCACUCCUGUUCUGAUUUAGCGUGUGCAUUUUAUACUGUUGAACGUUUUUAACCGCGAGUAAGGAUUAUUUUCUCAAUGCAUGUACCAUGUCGUCUCUGAAAAGCCCAAUUCCUUAUUCGAACUUUGUACCUCGAUUUUGAGUCAUACUCUCUCAUAUCUGUGGAAAAUACCACUUACAUCCUUGAAACAUUUUAUGACGAGAAUGUAUAUACACUUUUUGAAAAGAUAUCAUUGUGAUUUAAAUAUUUUCAUUUUUCUUAGUUCUAUUCCUUGCCCCAUGUGGUUCUGGGACGAUCUGUGUAUGAAAAGAAUUGGAACCACUGCCUUACCCUUGCAUGAUCGUAAGAGGCGACUAAUAGGGUCUUAACACUUGGUUUUGCAGUAACUCUGUGAUUCCAGCAGGUAUGCAAAUUUUGAUUCCAUACCUCAUGUUUUUAUUUCUAUGUAAAUGAGAUGUGGAACCAAAAUUUGUAGUCCUGUUUGGCACCAUAUAACCUAUACUGUGUUGGUGCGCCAUAAAACCCAAAUAAAUAAAUAAAUAAAUAUUCGACUUUUGAAAAAGGAAUAGGGAACCAGUUCCUUAUUCUUUUUCUCGAUCUUUAUCACUCGUGCUAUGAUUUAGCGUGUUCAUUUUAUGCUGCUGAUUUGAGUAAGGAUUAUUUUCUCACUGCUUUUACCUAGUAUUCUCCGAAAAAGGAAUAAGGAACUAGUUCCUUUUUCCUUAUUUGAAAAAAAAAUAAUAAAGGAAUAAGGAAUCGGGCUACUCGUUAUGCGCCCGUAUUAUGUUUGACUUAUAUUCUCAACACGUCCUAAACUAUUAUUCUACUUCACUGCCAAAUAAAUCAAACCAGUUAAAAGAGUUAAAAGACAUGAUUAAAAUUCACCAUAUUUAAUCGCUCGUUCCGUUCACGACUCACCGCUCGGAAAUUUUUGGAACAACCUUUCUCUCGUUUGCAUGUUCUGAAACACAUCUUUGGCAGUUUUCUUUUUUACGCUCUUUGACAAAGAUUUAGGCAAGCAUUUAGGCAAAAAUACAUUUUUUUUAUCAUUUUCAGAUGCUGUAUUGUCCGCUAUGUCCGCCUUUUGUCCACAGUUCUUUCGCAUCAACAGCUACCGUGCGUAAUUGUUCAUUUGAAAGAUGUGGGCAUGACGUCAUUAAUUAAUCUGACACUUUUUUGCGGACAAUAAAAUGUCAUAAAGGCCUUGAGAAGUUGACGUAAUUCACUCUCGACAGUCGAGACUAAUUUGGUGCAACCGAUACCGUUCUGUAUAAGCAACGUGUUAGUCUGUGAAUGUAACUCGAGGUACACAAUUACAAGUCACAUGUUAGAAAAUUUUGUAUUUGUGAAAAAUGUGUUAAUUUGUCGAAGAUUUGUAUAUUCUAAUUAACAAACACUAUUUAUUCCUUUCACAUCCAGGUUGACAACUUAUUGUUAAAAAAAAGUUCGCCUUACGAAAGAUUUCCAUCACGUGUACUAUAUAUACUAAUUCUAAGGCAUUCGUCUUCCACUCCUGAUUCGUUCUGAGGCGUACAGAGAACACGGACGUGCGAAAUACAGAAAACGGUUACAGCCAACAAGUAAAUCAAACGAAACCUGACGACAUUAUCUGGAAAAAAAGGGAAAAACUUCCAGCAUACUCAGGUUUUGAGCAGUGGUGCCUGCUUUUUUUCGAAUCAGAAGUGCUACUCGUGCAUCAAAACUGCUCUUCGGAUUUUUCUUGUAUUUGUAUUGCAGAAUGUACUCUACAAUGAGACCGAUUUCUGUGCUUAUUUUGGUCAUCGCCGUAUGUUCAGUACCAACGGCGUCAUCCUCUGACGACGAAAAGUUCCCCGGGAAAGAAGACUGGGUUCGAGCUGGGAUCUCGAAGCGCUUGGCUGAGGAUCUCAUUACAGCAGUUCAUGCAGCGCCGAUGACUUGUCUCCCCAGUUCCCGUUUCCGGCUGCUGUUGGAUAACCUUAUACAAAAUGAACUGAUCAGGUUGCAAAAUUGUGCUGACGCAUUUCAGGAACAAGACCAAACAUACGAAAAUAUAGUUAAAAUGUGAAAGUGACGUGAUUUUACACCUGCUAUUACAAGAUGGAACUAAACGUAGAAGAAUGUACAUACAAGACGAUAUAAACUACAGUCACAUAUAAUAAUUUAUACAGGUACUCUAAGACAGCAGUCACUACUGAAUUACAUGUUUUCAUCAAAGCUAUGUCUCAUCAAGAACAAUGUGUGGCAGAUAUACUGAAACACUACAAACGGAUUGUAAAACUACAAUAAAACAUGCAAGUUAAUGUUUAAAUUUUUUAGGCACUAUAUCCAUAAGCUAAGAUAACUUUAGAAGCUACAUACUAAAGCUGUUAGACGAUACAAACAGAAGUCUUCAGAAGCUUAGAAGUUGAAGAGCUAUACAUACAGAGAUCAUAAAACCUUGUGUAGGACAAAAAAUAUGAAACUACAAUCGGCAGAGAUUCAGAUGCCACGUACCUACCGCGGACGUGAAUAGCUAGUUUAGAACUCUUUAUACUUUGAAUACAAAAUACAGUCGAGUCUCGGUAUCUAGAACAUUCAGCGACUGAGCAUUUUAUUCAAGAUAACCGAUUUGAUUUAAAAAUUAGAUACUGUUUAUAGUAAAAGCACAUUUAUGUCUCCCCAUACCACUUCAUUUAAAUAGAAAA